GACGAACGCUGGCGGCGUGCUUAACACAUGCAAGUCGAACGGAAAGGCCCUGCUUUUGUGGGGUGCUCGAGUGGCGAACGGGUGAGUAACACGUGAGUAACCUGCCCUUGACUUUGGGAUAACAUCAGGAAACUGGGGCUAAUACCGGAUAGGAGCUCCUGCUGCAUGGUGGGGGUUGGAAAGUUUCGGCGGUUGGGGAUGGACUCGCGGCUUAUCAGCUUGUUGGUGGGGUAGUGGCUUACCAAGGGUUUGACGGGUAGCCGGCCUGAGAGGGUGACCCGCCACAUUGGGACUGAGAUGCAGCACGGACUGCAACGUGAGGCAGCAGUGGGGAAUAUAGCACAACGGGCCGAGGCCUGAAGAAGCAACGCUGCGUGCGGGAUGACGGCCUGCGGGUUGUAAACAACUUAGCACUGUGACGAAGCGUGCGGGAAGGUAAUGGGUAAAGAAGCACCGGCUAACUAAGUG
rnacentral:rRNA from 1 species